UGCAGUCGAACGGCAGCACGGGAGCAAUCCUGGUGGCGAGUGGCGAACGGGUGAGUAAUAUAUCGGAACGCGCCCAGUCGUGGGGGAUAACGUAGCGAAAGCUACGCUAAUACCGCAUACGAUCUAUGGAUGAAAGCGGGGGAUCGCAAGACCUCGCGCGAUUGGAGCGGCCGAUAUCAGAUUAGCUAGUUGGUGAGGUAAAGGCUCACCAAGGCGACGAUCUGUAGCUGGUCUGAGAGGACGACCAGCCACACUGGAACUGAGACACGGUCCAGACUCCUACGGGAGGCAGCGGUGGGGAAUUUUGGACAAUGGGCGAAAGCCUGAUCCAGCAAUGCCGCGUGCAGGAUGAAGGCCUUCGGGUUGUAAACUGCUUUUGUACGGAACGAAAAAGCUUUCUCUAAUAAAGAGAGCUCAUGACGGUACCGUAAGAAUAAGCACCGGCUAACUACGUGCCAGCAGCCGCGGUAAUACGUAGGGUGCGAGCGUUAAUCGGAAUUACUGGGCGUAAAGCGUGCGCAGGCGGUUAUGUAAGACAGAUGUGAAAUCCCCGGGCUCAACCUGGGACCUGCAUUUGUGACUGCAUAGCUAGAGUACGGUAGAGGGGGAUGGAAUUCCGCGUGUAGCAGUGAAAUGCGUAGAUAUGCGGAGGAACACCGAUGGCGAA
rnacentral:rRNA from 1 species